rfam:Myotis brandtii contig236880, whole genome shotgun sequence.
AGGCCUGAAGAGAGAAGCAGGGUAUGACCCAUAGCCUCCAUGGCAGCUGUUGAUCAGCCCUUGCCUCUCUCUUUCUCUGGG